AAUUGUUCAAAAUUUUUGACAAAAACAAUAAUUGAGUUUAAACCACAAUGAACUUGCAAUUUUAUUUGUAAUUACUCGUGGACAUCGAAGAUGAAAAUGAAAAUGGUAAAUUUUAUUUCGUAAAAAAACUCAAAAAAACAUUUGAAGAAUUUUUUAAAGAAAAAUGUUUUAAGAAGAAUUUUUAACGCUUAGACUGAUUGACAAUUUGAGAGUUUUUGAAAAUCAGGACGGUAUCUCGAUAAUCAGGACAAAUCCUGAUAAAACAGGACACCUGGCACCUCUGAUAACAGCUGUCAUAACUGCCAAGAAUUUCGAGAAGAAUAAAAAAAAAUAAGAAUAAGAAAUUAGAAAAAUUGAUUUUGUGGUACGGUGCAAUUGAAAUCAACAGCAACUAAUUUUUUAUGCCGAUAGCUGCCGUAAUGGAACAGGAAGCUUGCACACCGAGAGCUGGACUCUCCAGCCCAACAGUUAGGCCAAGAGGUACAAAUAAUUCAGUGGCGGCGAAUGCUGUUUUUUUUCUACGCAGCCCGAGUUCCCCGAACGUGGGGACUUCCCACGCUGGUCUUGCUGUGUAAAUUCCGGACCUAAUUCUUCAAUGCCGUUGGAUACUUCAUUCACCAUUGAUUUUUUACACCAGCUGGAUCAAAAAAUUAAAAAUGUUCUAAAUGCAGUAAAUGUGAGUAAAAAAUAAAAUGAAUUAUUAAGUGAAA